GUACCUUUUUCUGAGUCCCAGGGUUGAUGCUCAGGGAUGGAGCGUCAGCCCCCUGGAGAGAACCUGGGUUUGAUUCUCAGCACUGACGUGAUAAUUCCCAAGUGUCUCUAAGCCCAUGGUUCCAGAGGAUCUGAUGGCCUCUUCUGACCUCUGAAGGCAACAAGCAUGCAUGUGGUGUGUGUCUGAGACACACACAGAAUCACGCAUGCACAUACACAGUCACACAUGUACAUAUGCAUAUACAGUCACACAGUCUCUCUCUCUCUCUCUCUCUCUCUCUCUCUCUCUCUCUCUCACAUACACACACACAGAGUUCAAGGCUUAGUUUGCAUGUCCCUAACAUAGGAUCACUAACACUUGCCAUAUUUUCCCAGUACAAGUGAAACAUAUAGACGCUUUGCUUCUAAACUACACGUACCACACGUCAGCUACCGGACGGAAAGCGUCUG
rnacentral:lncRNA from 1 species